rnacentral:rRNA from 1 species
UAAACGUCCCAGUUCGGAUUGCAGCCUGCAACUCGGCUGCAUGAAGCUGGAAUCGCUAGUAAUCGCGGAUCAGAAUGCCGCGGUGAAUACGUUCCCGGGUCUUGUACACACCGCCCGUCACACCAUGGGAGUAGGUAAUGCCCGAAGUCGGUGACCUAACCGGAAGGAGGACGCCGCCGAAGGUGGGGUUGAUGAUUAGGGUUAAGUCGUAACAAGGUAUC